UCACGAGCUUAUUUAGGCAUCGGAUCAAAUCACAUACGUUGCAUGUGCAAGACCUUAAUUCGCUGAAGUCGGGCAAACCUGUGCCGACUAUGGUUGAAGCUUGAAGUCGGGACUUGUAUAUAAUUAACGUAGAAGUAGGCACUCGCAGAUAAUUUUUCAAUCCGUUCGAGGUUCUUCCGAGGAGGAGGGUACACGUUCCUCCCCUUCCACCUUCUCCUUGCUCUUCUCCUUCUCGAAUCCAUGGCGACCACCGUUGAGCCGUCUCCCGGGCUGCCCCCCCUUAGGUCCACUUCACGUCUUCACCACGCCCUAUCCCUUCGGGAGCACGUCUCAAUCGCCGGCAGUGGGGAUGGUGGUGGCAGUGGAGUUCUUCCACUACAAUCUCCACUAUCGCUACCAGAUAUUAUCCAUAGGUGAGAUGAAGAAUUUGAUAUAUUGUAAUUUGUAUUUGCCUGUCGUGGAUUUCAACAAAAUGAAUGCUGUGAAGAAUUUAUUGAAAGUCUGGAGGAAUUUUGGGUGUUGAAGAAAGAUUCGAGGGUGGAAUUGAUCAAUAAUGUUGGGGCAAUAAAUGACCGGUAUGAUAUAGCGCACGAGGAUACAUCGUGGGGGCAAAUUCGAUGCAUCCAGAAAUUCUUCAAGGCAUUCUGGUCGAGCUUGCUCAGGCAAAUGUGAAGGCCAGGUCGAGCAGACCAUAAGUGUCCGACCUUCGAUGUCGGCACCUCUCAGCUCAGUUCAGGGAUCUUGACUACUGAUACGAAUCGAGUGAAACCUUCUAUGCGAAAGAAGCAGUUCGCUCCUACAAUUCCAUUGCGUGCCAGGUUAUAACAGCACGUCUCCACAUCAGUAGUUUGUUGCGGUAUGACAUUCGGAGCUUCAGCUAUAAAUAAUUCUAAAGGUCCCCCGCAGGAAAAAAAAGUGAAAAAAAGGCAAUCUCUGGAUUAGGGGAGACUCAGUCUCUUUGUUGUUCUUUUUUUUUCCUUCCCGUGAGAAAAUAUUUUUUGACUUAAGCAUGGGAGGAUCGGGAGGCAAUCUGACGAGCUCUCAUUCUUGUUGGUUGUCUCACAGGUCUAAAGGAGGUGGUCCACCUCGAUAUUCCAGGGUCGGCGGCAACAAAUAGCAAGGAGAGAGAUCUUACUAUAAAUACUGGAAUGCAAAAAUCAUGUAACUAAAGAAGUAUUUUUGCUGCUUUAUAGGUUGGAAACAAGUUUAUUUUGGUGGCUUAUAGGAGUUUUAGUAUUGGAAUCAGGACUUAGAUUUUGAUAAUUAGGAGAGUUGACCUGCAUAAGUUUCCUGUGGCUCUUCUUUUUAUUUUUUUUUUCUUUUUGUAUGCCAUGUUUGAUUUGCUAGAAAAAUAUCAGGAGAGGAUUAUGAUGUUUUGGCAAAAUUUGUUGAUACCAUAAAAUUGGACCUUCCUGAAGAUAUUAUCAAGAGGAUGAGGGAGUGAGUGAUGAAGGCGAAACAUGGUGACUUCAUCCAUUGAGAUGGAAAAUGACAUUUGGUGAAGGUUUUUAUUCGUAGAAAAAUUCAUUUAUUUAUUUAUCUAUCUAUUUAUUGUGUGUGAGCAUGAGAGAAAGAGAGAGAGAGAGCUAGGAGGGGAGCAAACCAGGCAGAAAAUCAGGCGGUUCGAGGUCACCGGAGAGGCAUCAAUGAAUUUACCAACUGCACUAGUUGGUGAAGCUUGAACAGCUUUUUCAUAAAAAUACAGUGGAUUAAAUAAUCAGCUCCUAUUUCAAGAUGGGAACUGAGGAUUGGAUCUAGUGAAUAUUGCAUAGUCCGAGGGGUGUCGUAUUCAGAAAGCCUACAUAUUUUAAACAAAUUGGAGGACAUGUCAAUUAUCAAGAGUGAGUAAGGAUGAAAUAUGGGAGACAUUGCUGAUGCUACUGGUGUGGCCAGAGAUCAUGUUUUUCAUGUGGACUUUAUGUAACUAUAGGUUACAGACAAUGGUUAAGAGUUGAAAAGAUUUAUGGAUGGCCUGGUGCAGUAUAAGUGGUGCAAGAUGGGUGAGGAAGAUGUUUAUCAUUUGCUCUUUGAUUGUUAGAGGUCUAAUCUAACCAACCCUGAGAUAAGUUCAUUGAAGGUUGGUUUGACUAUGGAAUAUAAAUGCGGAGGUGUUAAGGAACACAUGUAUGAAAAUUGACAGUGCCAAGGUAAGAAGAGAACAGUUAUUCUCGUUUUUACUUGGUGGGUUACAUGGCAGGAUGUUUUGAAGGAGAUGGUGAUAAAGUAGUGAAAAAGGAUUACUGGUCAGACAAGAAAUUUUCAGUGCCAAGGAGAAAAACAAUCAGUAGGAGUGUUAACUCUUGAUAAGUUGGGAUUACCUGAAGCCAGGGUAUGUCAAAGUAAACUCUGAUGCUUCAGUGGGAUUAGAAAGAGAAAAAGGCUGCAUUCAGUUGGCUACUAGGAAUAAAGAAGGUAGACAGAUGUUAGCUUGAGCUGUGCCCACUAGCAUGGAUGUUCAGGUUCUAGAAUUAUUAUUUAAGACCAGGUUUGUUGGCUGCAUUAUGAGAAGGCUACAGGAAACCACAAUGCAGAAGUACUGAGAUAUUGCUUGGCGAGAAAAAUUGCACCAAAUAUCAAGGAUAUUUGUGUUUUAAUGGGACAAAUGGAGGACUUUAAGAUAUCACAAAUUCAUCAAGAAGCAAAUGCUGGUGCUGAUUGGUUGGCAAAUAGGAGAAGGCAAGGGAAUAUUAGAAGAUUAGAAGGAAAACUAUCCAGUUGGCCAGUGGAGUCGGUGUUAAGGGACCUAGGUGGUCCUUUCGUUUGAAAGUUUUUACAUUUCUUUCAUCCGUUACUGGCUCAUUAAACGGGAUAAAAAAGGAAACAAAAGGCAAAUAUCAUUUGUUCACUUACAGAAAACACCAUCAAUCUAUCUUGUUGUACCUGGUAAGAAUCAUAAAGUAAACAACCAAACAAGUUAUCCUUCUUUUGAUUUUUGUUGAUGCUGUGGUUAAUCUGUAACUCAUAUAAAGAGUUGGACAUGAUGGUUUUAUGUUGGAUUAUGAAAUAAGAUUCAAAUGCUAUUUUCAUUGGAAAGUGGUUCUGGAAUUAUGGUAAGGAAUUCAAUUGGGUUUGUGCUUAGGAUAAUUGGUUCUUAAAAAGUUCUGCCUAUUCAUUUCCUGGUGAUUUUGACCUCCCUCCAUUUCCUCUCAAAGCACAAAAAAAAAGCUUGCAUGGUACAUUAGGGCUCACAUCAUUAGUAAGCUGUAAUACACCGUAUUGCAAUUAUUGCUAUGACAUGACGUGUCCUCUAGUUACUUGAGAUUACCAAGUCAUCAAUAUGUUGCUGAAAGCACUUGUUACACUGAUGAUAAUUUGCUUACUACUGAUGCUUUCUUUGCUGCAUCCUUGUAAAAGCACUCGUGAUGGAUAAAUAUUGAACACCCCAAAAGUACUUUAUGACAAUGUAAUCAAGUAGGUCUUUACGACAAUGUAUGUCAUCAACAUAGUUAUAUUUGGCAUUUUCUGUUAUUUAGUCUAUAAGGUAGGAAGUUUUGUUGAUGAAGUUAGUGGCCAAAAUAUGAAAUUUCUCUUGUUUGAUUCGCUUUGCAAAGUUGGGGAUGCAUCUUUCCCAUUUUAACGUAUCGAAUGUCGGUGCGUCCCUUUGUACUGCUUACCAAUUCUGUACCAUUACAGUCGGUAUGCACUGAUACCGACCGGCACAGCACAGCAAACCUUAAACGGUUCCUUCCAAUCAAACAACUUGAUUUAUUGCAAUAUCUAAAAAUCUGAUGUUGUUUAAGCCAAAGAUUUAGGAUCAUAUUAUGUACUUUUUGGUACAUAAUCUGGACAUAUAACAUUUUACGCUCCCUAUCUCUCUCUAUCUCUGUCUUGCGUGGAGGAGGGAGUCAAAAGUUUUUUUCUUGGCCAUAUACCUUCUAUGAUUUUCAAUUUGUUCCUUUAACUUUUAGUUUGUCAGAGGGCUGUUCUUCAAGAUAUCUAAAAAUAUAUAAUGAUUUCAUUUAAGCUCAAAGAAAGACCCAGUUAACAUUUUCUGAAGUUUCGAGGAAGACUCAAAUAAUUAGACCAACUACUUUUUCAAAUUAUGCCAAGAAAAGUCUGAUAUCAAGUUGAAUUAAGGCUAUCAGUUAAAUAUGAUAAGUCCUAUGAGAGAGGCAGUUUAAUUUCUCUUCUUUACUCACAGAAUUUGUAUAUUUGGUUUCUCUAGACAAUCCUUUUUUUUUUUCACAAUCAUUGCAACAGAGAGGAGCUAAUAGUACAUUUGGUCUUAAUUUAGUGAAAGCACUAGNNNNNNNNNNNNNNNNNNNNNNNNNNNNNNNNNNNNNNNNNNNNNNNNNNNNNNNNNNNNNNNNNNNNNNNNNNNNNNNNNNNNNNNNNNNAACAUCACCAUUAGCUCGGUAACACUACAGCUGUACCAUCUGAUACCUAGCUUUGGCAUCUAUUUACCUAUUAAGUCUUUGAUACAAAAGAGAAAGCCAACAAAUUCACCUAUGAAAACACUGACCAAUCAAAUAAAUGUUGAUACUACCACACAAAGAUACUUCCUUGCUGGCCUAAUCAUUGUAGUUUUGUGUUUUUUUUUUGUAUUUAAUAUCAAUAUGUACAUAUGCUUUGUAGUUGCUUUGCUUCCCAGAUUUAUUUAGAUCUUCAAUUCCCCUUUCCAUGAAUCCACUUAAUAUUCUAACUACUAGCUUUUAUAAUUCUUGGCAAGAUUUGCCUCUGCAAAUCUAAGAGUACUUCUAAAAAAUCACUGACUCUGAAAAGUUAACUAUUUUAUUUAGACUUCAGACUUUCCUGCUGAAAUUCAGAGGUAUUUUCAGUUUAUGCUUUUUUACCUUCAUGUCAAUUCUCAGUUGGAGCACAAUUAAAUGGCCAGAUUUUUUUUGACAAGCAUUUGAAUGCAAAUCCUUACUUCUGAACUUAAUGGGGUAAGGCUCAUAAUCAUUGUUUGCGACUGCAUCUUUUUCUCUAGUUUCUGAUCCCAUGAAUUAGGAUUCAGCUAAUGUUAACGUUCUUAAGGCUGGUAAAAAUUUGCCUCUACUUAACUAGUGGUAUUGAUGGUUCAUAUCUGUUUCUUGAUUGCUGUUCUUUUCUCCAUGAACAUUAUUGCAUAGCCUCCACAACCAAUGAUUCAGAGUUUAGUGGUUGAAUGUCCAAGCAGCUAUUUUAGCCCCAAAUGAAGAAAAUUGGACUGGUUCAUUUCUCAUGAAAAAUAUGAGAUCAUAUCUGCAGGUGAUGAUGCAGGAGUUGGAUAGAGCACGAAACAGAUUACAAAUAGUUAUUUUCUGAAGUGCAAGAAUGUUCAUCUGUGGUUUGAACUUGCAUCCAUGGUGAACUGGUGUAUACCUAUCAUUUCCCCCUUACACAUAUCUUCUUUUUUUUUAACUAUUGGGUAUUAUUUAUUGUUGUUAUUUUUUUAAUGUGGUCCAUGUAUCUUGGCGAGAAAGCUUAUAUCCAUGGAACAAGGCAGCUAAAGUCUCAUUAAACAUGUAAAUGAAAGUUUUGGGUCACCAACCAGAAAGGCUUUCUCAAAAUGUGGAACUUCAUUUCGAUCAACUCCACGACCUUGCAUAAGAUGCUUAUACAUGGCUGUUUCUUCCUAAAUGCAUCUGUGAGCAAGCAGGUGCAUACAAGAGCUUUACGGAAUAGGAUAAUAUGGGUAUCAUUUUUGUUGGUAUUAGUUAUAUCUUUUUUUUAUAGAUUGCUAGUAGUAGUUUGUUGCAUCUGGUUUGCUCCUUGUAUGUACAAUAUAUUGCACUUGUUAGGCCCUUCUGAAAACAGUUGCUAUUAGGCUUUGGGUAACAAAAAGUGGCUAAAUGUUUGAAUUUGUCCAUUCUGUUAUUUAUUCAUCCAUUCAUUCAUUUUCCACCCACUCCAAGCUUUACCUGGAAAUUUUGCUUCCCCUUUUAACAGAUGUAAAUUAUAAUAAUUAGGCCAAAACCUGCAUAUUAAGCUGUAUGGAUGCAGGAAAAGUAAACUGCUAUAAAUUAUGGUUAAUUUUUUGGGGAAAUAUGGGUAAUUACUAGGCUAAUAUUCUUUCUCUGUUUUUUGCAUUAUAGCUGGCUUGGCUUAGCAAAGCUCACAUCAUCUGAAUGCUAAUUGUUAUUUUCUGCUCGAUCUUCACAUUUCUAGUGACUUACCUGUAUAAUUUUAUUUCAUUCGCAUAUUUAAAAUCUCGUAAGAUUCUGCUUCACCAUUUGAAACACUCGAACAAGAUUUGUUAAUAUGGUUGGUGUAUGAUUUGAUGGUUUUGGUCUUUUGCAAAGUCUGAAACUUUUGACUUAUGUUGCACUACUGCCCUCUUCAUAAGGUGGGAUAUCAAGGAUAGAUAAGUGGUUUUCUUUUUCAAGUGCAAAUAUGCUGCUGAUCCCUUUUUUUUAUUUAAGUUAGAACACUAUGGGCUCAGUGGCUAAACUUUUAUUAGCAGGUCUAAAGAAGAGUAUAAAAGAGCUUAAAUAAAGUCAUCACUCAUAAAGUUGUAUGCUAUACAUUGGAAAUAAAGUGCUCUUCCAAGUUUGAUCUCGCAUUGGGGUAUGGAAAGGCAGCAUUCACCACGUAGUAUUUCUUGGUGGGAAUUUUAAUAAAGACAGAAGGAAAGAGAUCAAAAGGAUAGAGAGAAAGAAAAACAGGAGACCUUUUUUUAUUAUUAUUAUUUCGUUUUGAUAGGACUUUGAACAGAGGAAAGGAGGACCCGGAGAAAAGACACAGGAGAGCAGGGAGAGAGAAAGGAGAUGGGACGAGAACGAAGACGAAGGAAGGGAAGAUAAGGGCCAGAAAAGAAGGCACCAUGCACGUGGCUGGUUGGUCCGAAUGAAAGGUAGAUGGCAACUUUUUAGUCGUUUCCAUUCUCCUUUUCACACCGUCCUUUCUCAUGCCUUCCCUUCUCUUUCCCUUCACCACAUACUUUAGCUAAAGCCUCAGUUGUGUACCCUCCAAAAUAUUCGCAUUGUGGCCACAGUCGCUUUGUUUCUUUAAUUUAAACAACACUACGUCCAUCUGAAAAAAAAGAAAGAAAGAAAAGGAAAAGAAGAAAAAGCCUAAAAGAACACAAUUGCAGUGGCAAAGCAAUGAGUAGAACCAAGUGUAUGGUGACUCCAUAUCUUGUGAACACUUGGAAGAGUCCAUCAUCAUCACGAUCACCAUCGUACUCUUCAGCUAAAUAUAUUCAUAAUUAUUUUUUAAAGAUUGUUAAGAUUGUUUAUAAAAACUAAAGUUAUUUAUUGAUUUUUAGGAUGGAUUAUUUAAAAAGCAUUUCGUAUCCGUUGUUUUUUCACUUUGAUCUGAUUAUAUAUUCUUGCAAAUAUGACUUAUUGUAUAUUUAUCUUUCAAAAUUCAUUAUUUAUAUAAAUAUCCCAAAAUAAUUUUUUUAAAAUAUACCUUUUAAUUUUUUGAUUAAUGGUGUUAAU
rnacentral:lncRNA from 1 species